CCUACGGGUGGCAGCAGUGGGGGAUAUUGCACAAUGGGGAAAACCCUGAUGCAGCAACGCCGCGUGUGGGAAGAAGGUUCUCGGAUUGUUAACCACCGUUCUUGGGGAAGUUAAUGACGGUAACCAUGCAGAAAGCCCCGUCUAACUACGGGCCAGCAGCCGCGGCACUACGGAGGCAGCAAGCGUUGUCCGGAUUUACUGGGUGUAAUGGGUGCGUAGGCGGUUUUGAAAGUCAGGCGUGAAAACCACAGGCUCAACCUGAAGAUUGCGGUUGAAACUGGGGGGCUUGAGUGAAGUAGAGGUAGGCGGAAUUCGCGGUGUAGCGGUGAAAUGCGUAGAGAUCAGGAAGAACACCAAUGGCGAAGGCAGCCUACUGGGCUUUAACUGACGCUGAGGCACGAAAGCAUGGGUAGCAAACAGGAUUAGAUACCCGAGUAGUC
rnacentral:rRNA from 1 species